rnacentral:lncRNA from 1 species
GUUUUAUAAAUCACAGGGUUCCUGACCCAAGGAAGAACUCAAUUUCUUUGAUGACUCCACAGUAUUUUUAGCCAUUGAGUUGGUUAGUUCCUUGUCUGAAUAAUAUUCCUCCUUUGUUUACUCAACUUCUGAUUCUUCCUUCCUUCCUGCUGUGAAAUGGACGGUAACCAGAUCAACUCUGAAUCCGGGAGAGGAAGCAAUCAGGUUCCUCUGUAAAAUUAAGAAAUGCAUAUGAAAACAUGACUGCUUAUUCAACAUCUUCUCUUCAAUUGCUCUGCAGGGCCCUCUGAUGUGGGAACAAUUUAUUCUGAAGCUAUUGGGCCCCACCAUAGACAAUCAGCACUUUUUUUUUUAAACUCU